AUUUUGCUGAUUGGCCGUGUCGGGUGGUGGAGGGUUACGACACAUUUAUAAAUAACGCGAUCUAACCCAAAAACCUUUAUUAUGAAUAAUAUUGGCCGCGAUAGCCUACUAAGUGUUAAACUGAGAAUCCGCUAUAUUUUAAUUGGAUUGACGAAUACUUCCCAGGAAUGAGCGCUCGGCGCCGUCUGAAACCGCUUCAGUGAUUGCGAACGAACGGAGCCCCGAUCGACGGCGAGAAAUCGAUUUAACAAUCGAUUAAUCGACUAAUCUCUUGCGUGUCCUGGUCCUUCGGGGGGGGGGGGGGGAGCUCGUUGCACACACCUCGCUCGCUCGCUCCGACACAGCCAAACGCAGCGCGUGUGCCAUUGUAAGCGAAGUCAUUCCCUGAUUUCGCUGUGAGCGCAGAUCGUGAUCACGAUUACGACCGCGGUCACGAUCAAAAUCGUGGCCGUGAUCGCGAUUACAGCCAUGAUCAAGAUCACGAAUCAUUUCCGUGAUCAGGCAUUGUCGGGGCGAUUAUUUUGAGGACCGUAUUCUAUAUAAAGUGUUCGUGUGAGCGCGAUGUAAGCCAUACACACACACACGCACGCGUGUUUGUUUAACACACACGUGUUAUGACACGCAAACACAUACACACGUGUUCUAGCACGCACAUGCACACGUGUUCUAACACACACAUACACACGUGUUCUAACACACACAUACACACGUGUUCUAACACGCGUGUUAUACCGCGUUUUCUUACACGUACCCGCUUUAACACACGCGUGUUAUACUACACACACACCCGUUAUAGCGCACACGCAGGCGUACUACAUACACACACACGGCUGUACUAACACACACACACGCGCGCGUGUUAUAACAAAUGCGCACGUUGAACUCAAUAUCUCUGACUAAUCCAUUACGCGGUCCCUGAUCAAGUGAGACGACUUAUUUAACGCAAUUGUCGCAUAGUUUGUUAUUGGGUUUUUUUGUCCGUGUGACUUACGCAGGCCUGCCACUUCGUCGGAUGGGUCAUCUGAAUAAUCCUGAACUCUUACAUGGUGACCUAUAUGCUUCCAGUUUGCGCGUGCACUGGGGCGGGGCCUCCCUCCCUCUCCGAGUCGCCGCCGUCUCGCCUUCACUGAGCAACGGGGAGAGAGAGACGGUGGGGAAUGAGACGCGAGACUCUGUGGGGUCGAUCCAAGUAGGUGGACUGGGUCAUCGCCUCGGUAUCGUGGAAUUACCGCCACUGACUCAGAGGCCCCCACCACCACCACCGCCGCACGUAGCGGUCUCUCGAGUCCCAUGCUUCUGGGUAAGGAGCUCCCACUGGGAAUGACUCUCUGGAGGUGAAGUCCUCUGGAGCUGAAGCCCGACACACACAGUGGAACUGCCAUCGGACAAACAGCAACCCCGGUGCUGAGAAAUCUCGCCGCAAAUCAUCGCUCAACCGGGACCGCACAACAGCAGCAGUGGCAUCGAUCUCACACCGAACACUGGGCAGGACCCUCCUGAAAAGCGGUCUUGAGACUCGGCGAGGCUUUCCUGGGUCCACGGUGAGCAUCGAGGCAUCUUCCUGUUCACAGCCCUGCAGCACCAGUGGUGGAAAUUAAACAUUCCUAUGGCGGCACGCGUGGCUGUGGACACGUGGCGGUGGACGCGUGGAUGUGGACGCGUGGCUUUGUACGCCUGGCUGUGGAUGUGCUCCCGUGUGAGGAGGCGAUCCAUCAUGAGCCGGAUCCAUUCCG